UACGUAGGGUGCGAGCGUUAAUCGGAAUUACUGGGCGUAAAGUGUGCGCAGGCGGCCGAGCAAGUCGAGUGUGAAAGCCCCGGGCUUAACCUGGGAACUGCAUUUGUGACUGGCAAGCUAGAGUAUGGCAGAGGGGGGUAGAAUUCCACGUGUAGCAGUGAAAUGCGUAGAGAUGUGGAGGAAUACCGAUGGCGAAGGCAGCCCCCUGGGCCAAUACUGACGCUCAUGCACGAAAGCGUGGGGAGCAAACAGG
rnacentral:rRNA from 1 species